rnacentral:rRNA from 1 species
UACAGAGGGGGCAAGCGUUGUUCGGAAUUACUGGGCGUAAAGGGCGCGUAGGCGGCCUUCUAAGUCGAACGUGAAAUCCCCGGGCUCAACCCGGGAACUGCGUCCGAUACUGGCAGGCUUGAAUCCGGGAGAGGGAUGCGGAAUUCCAGGUGUAGCGGUGAAAUGCGUAGAUAUCUGGAGGAACACCGGUGGCGAAGGCGGCAUCCUGGACCGGUAUUGACGCUGAGGCGCGAAAGCCAGGGGAGCAAAACGGGG